AUGGCCAUGGCGACGGCGCUCCGCAAGCUCUCCGCCCGCGGCCAGCCCCUCUCCCGCCUCACGCCGCUCUACUCCAUGGCGUCUCUGCCGGCGACGGAGGAGAGAUCCGCAGUCACCUGGCCCAAGCAGUUGAACGCGCCGCUGGAGGAGGUCGACCCCGAGAUUGCCGACAUCAUCGAGCUCGAGAAGGCCCGCCAAUGGAAGGGGCUGGAGCUCAUCCCGUCGGAGAACUUCACCUCCCUCUCGGUGAUGCAGGCGGUGGGAUCCGUCAUGACCAACAAGUACAGCGAGGGGUACCCCGGCGCGAGAUACUACGGUGGAAACGAAUACAUUGAUAUGGCCGAGACGCUGUGCCAGAAACGUGCUUUGGAGGCUUUCAAUUUGGACCCAGAGAAGUGGGGAGUGAAUGUGCAACCUCUAUCGGGUUCACCUGCCAACUUCCAUGUAUACACUGCUCUGCUGAAGCCACAUGAUAGAAUUAUGGCUCUGGAUCUUCCUCACGGUGGACAUCUUUCCCAUGGUUACCAGACUGACACAAAGAAAAUCUCAGCAGUUUCAAUAUUCUUUGAGACAAUGCCUUACAGACUGGAUGAAAGCACUGGCUUGAUUGAUUAUGACCAGUUGGAGAAAAGUGCCGUUCUUUUUAGGCCAAAGUUGAUUGUUGCUGGUGCUAGUGCAUAUGCCCGCCUUUAUGAUUAUAACCGCAUGCGGAAGAUCUGUGACAAGCAGAAGGCAGUUCUUCUCGCAGACAUGGCACAUAUCAGUGGGCUAGUUGCUGCUGGUGUCAUUCCGUCUCCUUUUGAGUAUGCAGAUGUGGUGACUACCACUACCCACAAGUCUCUCCGUGGUCCACGUGGAGCCAUGAUCUUUUUCCGGAAGGGGGUGAAAGAAAUAAACAAACAAGGGAAGGAGGUUAAGUAUGAUUUUGAGGACAAAAUCAAUGCUGCUGUCUUCCCAGGUCUGCAAGGUGGACCCCAUAACCAUACUAUUACUGGCCUGGCCGUUGCGCUUAAGCAGGCAACUACUCAGGAGUACAGAGCUUAUCAAGAGCAAGUUAUGAGUAACUCUGCUAGAUUUGCUGAGAGCUUGACUUCAAAAGGUUACGACAUUGUCUCUGGUGGGACUGAUAACCAUUUAGUUUUGGUGAACCUCAAGAAAAAGGGAAUAGAUGGUUCACGUGUGGAGAAGGUUUUAGAAAAUGUGCAUAUUGCAGCAAACAAGAACACGGUUCCUGGUGAUGUUUCAGCUAUGGUACCCGGAGGCAUCAGGAUGGGAACCCCCGCACUUACAUCAAGAGGAUUUGUUGAGGAGGACUUCGCCAAGGUUGCUGACUUCUUCGAUUCGGCAGUGAACUUGGCCUUGAAGGUUAAAGCUGCAGCAGCAGGUACCAAACUGAAGGACUUUGUUGCCACAUUGCAAUCCGACAGCAACAUCCAAGCUGAAAUUGCAAAGCUUCGCCACGAUGUGGAGGAAUAUGCGAAACAAUUCCCAACAAUUGGAUUCGAGAAGGAGACCAUGAAGUACAAGAACUAA
rnacentral:rRNA from 1 species